GUAAGUGUACAGUAGGCCUAACCUACAAGAAGUGUGUUAUUUUAUAUCUUUAGUAAGUAGAUUUGUACUAUUGCAAGUGUACCAGUGGGCCUAACCUAAAAUAAGUGUAUCAUUGUAUAUAGUGGGCCUUAAAAGAUUUGUGCCAGCAUAUACUCUUGUAAAUGUGGGGCCUGCAGAAGGAAGGUUAGCCAGGGGACAGGAUGUGAGGACUGUGGCCUGUGGUUUCAUUGGGAGUGUUCUGGCACCAAUAGUGAUUUGGCCAUAUUACCUUGGUACUGCAACUCCUGUGUGCAAGCCAAGGUAAUAAAGAAACAAGAGGAGACUAUCUUGAGUUUGAAAAGGGAGCUGGAACUUGCAAGAACUGAGAUUGACCUCUUAAAAGGGGAAUUAAAUUUAGUAGAUAAUUGUCCUGAAGAAUUUAGGACUGUGUCCAACUCCCGAAGAAAACUUAAAAAAGUUCCUUCUUCACUAGAUGUUAAGUUAGCUUUAACCAAUCGAUUUGAACCUCUAGCUAUGCUAGGGCCUCAGACUGAUGGUGACGCUAUAGAUCAGCCUGUGUUAGAGGCUAAGCCUAAGCGUAAGAUUCUAGUGCUGGGUAGCAGUCAUGGUAGGGGUAUCGGGCAGAGGCUACAGAAAGCAAUGGGAGAUGCAUAUGCUGUGACCAGCAUAUUCAAGCCCAAUGCUGAUCUGAGCAAUGUCACUGGGGACAUUGGAAAAUUGUGCAAAGGUUUU